rnacentral:antisense_RNA from 4 species
CUCUAUGGCGGCUGUGUGCAGGGCACCCUCGGGUGCGCCGGUUUUGGGAAGUCGCCGGUCGACUAACCUGCGUACAGCUGCCACCUUU